rnacentral:rRNA from 1 species
GCCUACGACCAUCUCACCCUGAAUGCCCCCGAUCUCGUCUGAUCUCGGAAGCUAAGCAGGAUCGAGCCUGGUUAGUACUUGGAUGAGAGACUGCCUUGGAAUACCAGGUGUUGUAGGCU